rnacentral:lncRNA from 1 species
CUGUAAUAUUUGGGCUGAAUUGGUACCAGAUUGGUCAAGGGCCAAAACAACCUGAUUCCAUUAAUAAUUUGUGGUGAAAUUGACCAAGAUCAAGAAAAAAAGUAGCACGAUAUUGGAAAGUGCGAAAGUUCUUUUUGAGGGCUGGUAAAAAUUUAUUUGAAUAUAUAUAAGAGAAACUUGUCAAUUUUGGACUGGGGCUAUUGCUAGCUGAAAAAGAUUUUGGCACAGCC